rnacentral:rRNA from 1 species
GGGUUCUACCGUUGGUCGGGCUUUGUCUGUACUGGCGUGUAGAAUUUCUACCUUCUGGGGAACCAUCAUGUUAUUAAUUUAACGUGGUGGGAAACCAGGACCUUUACCUUGAAAAAAUUAGAGUGUUUAAAGCAAGUGAAUAACAGCCUGAAUACAUUAGCAUGGAAUAAUAGAAUAGGA